GACCAAGGAGUGCAACAUGCGUGCGAGUCUUUGGGUGGCAAACCCAGCGGCACAAUGAAAGUGAAGGCAGGCGGUGGUCUGCUUAGGCGAGAGUCUCCUCGUGGGACGCAUCGUCGACCGAUCCCAGGUCACGCUGUGGCGGGAUUUGAGUGAGAGCGUGCCUGUUGCGACCCGAAAGAUGGUGAACUAUGCCUGAAUAGGGUGAAGCCAGAGGAAACUCUGGUGGAAGCUCGUAGCGAUUCUGACGUGCAAAUCGAUCGUCAAAUUUGGGUAUAGGGGCGAAAGACUAAUCGAACCAUCUAGUAGCUGGUUCCCUCCGAAGUUUCCCUCAGGAUAGCUGGAGCCCGGUGCAGUUUUAUCAGGUAAAGCGAAUGAUUAGAGGUCUUGGGGUUGAAACAACUUCAACCUAUUCUCAAACUUUAAAUGGGUAAGAAGCUUGGCUUGCUUAAUUGAAGUCAGGCAUUGAAUGCCGGGGUUCCUAGUGGGCCAUUUUUGGUAAGCAGAACUGGCGAUGUGGGAUGAACCAAAUGCUGGGUUAAGGUGCCCGAAUCAACGCUCAUCAGAUACCAUGAAAGGUGUUGGUUGAUCUAGACAGCAGGACGGUGGCCAUGGAAGUCGGAACCCGCUAAGGAGUGUGUAACAACU
rnacentral:rRNA from 1 species